CCUACGGGGAGCAGCAGUGAGGAAUAUUGGUCAAUGGGCGAGAGCCUGAACCAGCCAAGUCGCGUGAAGGAUGACGGCCCUAAGGGUUGUAAACUUCUUUUGUCAGGGAGCAAUUGAGUCCACGGGUGGGCUUAGCGAGAGUACCUGAAGAAAAAGCAUCGGCUAACUCCGUGCCAGCAGCCGCGGUAAUACGGAGGAUGCGAGCGUUAUACGGAUUUAUUGGGUUUACAGGGUGCGUAGGCGGAAUAUCAAGGCAGCGGUAAAAAUUCGGGGCUCAAGCCGGUCGGGACGUUGAAACUGAUGUUCUUGAGUGGGCGAGAAGUAUGCGGAAUGCGUGGUGUAGCGGUGAAAU
rnacentral:rRNA from 1 species